AAGAUGCUACUCAGCCCUGAGGAGGCUGAGGGAGCUAAGGGUUGAGUAGUACAGAGCUCUGUCACUUACUCGCUGUGUCACCUCUGGCAAGUGGCUCAGCUGUGAGUGGCUUUUGCUUCCCUCCUCUCUGAAACAAGCAAGGAGCCCUUCCAUGUGUCUCUGUGUGCUGUUGGGAUGGAAGUGAGCCAACAGUCAGCACUCAGUCAGUGUCAUUCUGGAGUGAUGGUUAGAGUCUGACGUUCUCAACGAGGACGAGGGUGGCUUUGUUCUGAAAUGCGCUCUGGUCUUGACCAGACUGUGCCUGGAACACUCUGCGGAAAGUCAAGGACGUUAGGCAGGGCCACACUGUGGACUGCUGGGAUCAGACCAGAUGAUCGUCGAAGAGCCCAAGCUACUGACCACCAAGGAACAAGAUGUGGGUGCAGUGGCAAAUUGUUGUACUGUGACUUUCUGUAUCUGGCUGAGACCCAUCCACUUUACCACUCUGCCACGAACAGUGUAUCCUCCCAGGCCCAGUAAAUGGGAGGACAGAGACUCAUCUCCAAGGGGCUCAUGUCCGUCAAUCCUGAAGGAGCACUUUUGGGUGACAAUGUAAUUAGUAUAAUUACAACACUAUUAAAUCUUGAUCUUCCUGCUUUUGUUCUUCCCUUCCUCUAUAUCCCCUCCCCCUUUCUUCCUGUCUUUUUUUUUUGUUUGUUUGUUUCAACACCAGGCUUCACAUAACCCCAGCUGGCUGCAAACUCACUGUGUAGCCCCAUGUGAUGUCCCUGAACUCUUUGAUCCUUUAAGCUCCACCUCCAAAUACUGGGAUUGCAGGUAUGUACCAUUCUGUGCAGUUAAAUCCACAUUUUCUAGUUCACUCACCUGGACUGAAGUCUGGCGGGGAGUACACUGCAUAUACUUUGUGUAGUUCACAUUGCUUAAAGGAUUCUCAGAUCUGCUGGGAUGCUGUCUGCCCAUCACAUGUACACAAGAGAUUAUUUUUUAAAAAUCCUUUGGGACUUUCUGUUGAUUGAGUGAGUGGCUUUAUCCAGGACAAUAUUCUUCUGAUCUGGACCAGAUGUCUUCUGAGAUCGUUCUCAGUGUAAAUAUCAGUGACACUCUGACAUUCAUUAAUUCAUCUUGAAUAAAAGACAAGAAGUUGCUUUCUGUAUUUUUUUUUUUUACUAUUAUAUGUAAAGUACACUGUAGCUGUCUUCAGACACUCCAGAAAAGGGUGUCAGAUCUCGUUAUGGAUGGUUGUGAGCCACCAUGUGGUUGCUGGGAUUUGAACUCCGGACCUUCGGAAGAGCAUUCGGGUACUCUUGCCAACUAAGCCAUCUCACCAGCCCACUUUCUGUAUUUCUUAAUGGUUGAGGCUUUAACUUACAUAAGAAACCACAAGGAAGGCCUAUAUUCCUAUAUGUAAACAGGACUUCAAGCACCACGGCCCUUCCCAGAACAGGUGGGUUGUAUUUUCUGUUUGGCCUGUCACGUGGUAUUUAUCUUCUGUUCAGUCACUCCGAGCUAGCAUCCCUUCUCUGUCUUCUUCAAACUCCACACACCUAGCUUCUGUAACCCCGUGAGAGUCCCUCUGUAGAUGCGUCUUAUUUCUGUUCUCUUUUGUUUUGUUUUCUUGGUUUUUCUUUUUUUAUUAUUUUUAUUUAUUUAUUUAUUUGGUUUUUCGAGACAGGGUUUCUCUGUGUAGCCUUGGCUGUCCUGGAACUCACUCUGUAGACCAGGCUGGCCUUGAACUCAGAAAUCCAUGUGUCUCUGCCUCCCAAGUGCUGGGAUUAAAAGGCAAGUGCCACCACUGCCCAGCUCUGUUCUCUUUAGUAGGAGCAGAUGAGGCAUCAUGUACCAUUAUGCCCAGCUUGUCCUGUGAGUUCACUGUUCUUUCCCUGCCUACAUUCUUUCUUUGGUCUCACUUCUUCUGUAUCUUACACAAAAGUCUCAUUUGUCUCAGCUUUGCAGCUAGAAUAGCUAAACGUAAUCAGAUCUGGAGACAUGUUUGCCAGCCACCACAAUGGUUUGUUACAAGUUGGGAA
rnacentral:lncRNA from 1 species